CCUGACCAGCCAUGCCGCGUGCAGGAUGACGCAUCUAUGGUGUGUAAACUGCUUUUGUACGGGAAGAAACCCUGGGUCGUGAGCCAGAUUGACGGUACCGUAAGAAUAAGGAUCGGCUAACUCCGUGCCAGCAGCCGCGGUAAUACGGAGGAUCCAAGCGUUAUCCGGAAUCAUUGGGUUUAAAGGGUCCGUAGGCGGUUUUAUAAGUCAGUGGUGAAAUCCGGCCGCUCAACUGUCGAACUGCCCUUGAUACUGUAGGACUUGAAUUAUUGUGAAGUAACUAGAAUAUGUAGUGUAGCGGUGAAAUGCUUAGAUAUUACAUGGAAUACCCAUUGCGAAGGCAGGUUACUAACAAUAUAUUGACGCUGAUGGACGAAAGCGUGGGGAGCGAACAGGAUUAGAUACCCUGGUAGUCCACGCCGUAAACGAUGGAUACUAGCUGUUUGGUUGCAAGACUGAGUGGCUAAGCGAAAGUGAUAAGUAUCCCACCUGGGGAGUACGGGCGCAAGCCUGAAACUCAUAGGAAUUGACGGGGGCCCGCACAAGCGGUGGAGCAUGUGGAUUAAUUCGAUGAUACGCGAGGA
rnacentral:rRNA from 1 species